rnacentral:rRNA from 1 species
UGACUGCUAUCGAGGUUCGACUAAGCCAUGCGAGUGCGAAUGUAGCAAUACAUGGCGAACUGCUCAGUAACACGUGGACAACCUGCCCUUAGGUUGGGUAUGAAACCCGGGAAACUGGGUAGUAAUACCCGAUAGGUCUCGAUUGCUGGAAUGCAGUCGAGAUUUAAAGCUCCGGCGCCUAAGGAUGGGUCUGCGGCCUAUCAGGUAGUAGUGGGUGUAGCGUACCUACUAGCCUACGACGGGUACGGGUUGUGAGAGCAAGAGCCCGGAGAUGGAUUCUGAGACACGAAUCCAGGCCCUACGGGGUGCGAGCAGGCGCGUAAACUUUACAAUAGCUGGCAACAGCGAUAAGGGAACCUCAGAGUGCCAGGUUACAAAUCUGUCGAGGAAUGCCUAAAAAGCAUUUCAUAGCAAGGGCCGGGCAAGAACGGUGCCAGCCGCCGCGGUAACACCGGCGGCUCGAGUGGUAACCGUUAUUAUUGGGUCUAAAGGGUCUGUAGCCGGCCGGAUAAGUCUCUUGAGAAAUCUGGCAGCUUAACUGUCAGGCUUUCAGGAGAUACUGUCUGGCUCGAGGCCGGGAGAGGUGAGAGGUACUUCAGGGGUAGGGGUGAAAUCUUGUAAUCCUUGAAGGACCACCAGUGGCGAAGGCGUCUCACCAGAACGGACCUGACGGCAAGGGACGAAAGCUAGGGGCACGAACCGGAUUAGAUACCCGGGUAGUCCUAGCCGUAAACGAUACUCGCUAGGUGUCGGCCACGGUGCGACCGUUGUCGGUGCCGUAGGGAAGCCCUGAA